CGUGUGUGUGUGUGUGUGUGUGUGUGUGUGUGUGUGUGUGUGUGUCUUUCCUGGAGGAUCCCACACGGACAUACCUCCGCCCAGGCAUCAGG
rnacentral:miRNA from 1 species